ensembl:lncRNA
CGAAAAAGAACAUGGCGCUCUGGAGGAAAGGUGUUCCUUGACAGUUAACGAUAUUGAUCAAUAAUUUUUUGGUUUCAGUAUGGAUAUCUACAUGACUUAACCCGUACGCAUCGAACUAUGAUAUGCGGCAAAUGUUACGGUUCAUGUUCUCUUUUUAUGGACGAGGACACUGUAAAUCUGCGUCUGUUAGUGAGCUAAGCUAGAAGGAUGGAGAAUCGUCAUGGACUUGUUUUGGUUGUCGGUGGGAUCCUUCUCUCGGAGCUGUUACUGUGUCAAGGUGCCCCUAUACAGUACUUCCACAGAUCAGGAGAGAGCAGUGGGAAUGCCUCAUCCCUAUCUCCCUUCCUGCCCCUGGUGGUGUCCCUGACAAUGCUGGUUGUUCUGACGGUGCUGCUGGUCAACUGCGUCACUUGCUGCAAAGAGAGAGAAAUCAACUUUAAGGAAUUCGAGGACCAUUUUGAUGAUGAGAUAGACUUCAG